rnacentral:rRNA from 1 species
GGUUUGACAAAAUAAAUAUUGUCUCUAAUGUUAAAAUAAAAUUUAACUUUUAAGUGAAAAGGCUUAAAUUAAUCAAAGUGACGAUAAGACCCUAUAAAGCUUUAUAUUUGUGUUUUAUUUUAAAAUAUUGAUUUAAUUAUAAAUUUAAAACAUUUUAAUUAAUUGGGGCGAUGUAUAAAUAAUUUUUUUAACUUUAUGUAUUUAAACCAUUUAUGUAUGUAGUAGUUUUAAUAGAUCCUUGGUAUGGAUUAAAGGAAAGUUACUUUAGGGAUAACAGCGUAAUUUUUUUUGAGAGUUCAUAUCGAAAAAAAAGAUUGCGACCUCGAUGUUGAAUUAAAAAUUCUAUUUAAUGCAGCAGUUAAAUAAGAAGGUCUGUUCGACCUUUAAUUUUUUACACG